rfam:Gossypium hirsutum cultivar TM-1 chromosome 10, whole genome shotgun sequence
AGUUAAAAUUUUCAUUCAUUUCUACCGUUAAAAACUGGUAUGGUUGACGGAAUAACUAAACAGUUAGACAUGACGUACCAUGUUUACCUCAUAUCGACAUACAAAGACCGGUUUUUAAUAGUAGAAAUAGAUAAUUUUUUUAACA